rnacentral:rRNA from 1 species
UCUGGCGAUGAUUGCUGGGGGGCCACACCCGUUCCCAUUCCGAACACGGAAGUUAAGACCCAUAGCGCCGAUGGUACCUGGUUUACGAACCCGGGAGAGUAGGUAAUCGCCGGAU